rnacentral:misc_RNA from 1 species
GAUGAAGAACGCAGCGAAAUGCGAUAAGUAAUGUGAAUUGCAGAAUUCAGUGAAUCAUCGAAUCUUUGAACGCACCUUGCGCCCUUUGGCCAUUCCGAAGGGCAUGCCUGUUUGAGUAUCAUGAACACCUCAACUCUUUAUGGUUUUCCAUGAUGAGCUUGGACUCUGGGGGUUUUGCUGGCUCACAGUCGGCUCCUCUAAAAUGAAUCAGCUUACCAGUGUUUGGUGGGUAUCAUGGGUGUGAUAACUAUCUACGCUUGUGGUUUUUCCACCAGGUAACCUUCAGCAGUGGAGGUUCGCUGGAGCUCAUAGAUGUCUCUCCUAAGUGAGGACAGCCCUUUGAAUGUUUGAUCUCAAAUCAGGUAGGACUACCCGCUGAACUUAAGCAUAUCAAUAAGCGGAGGA